rnacentral:rRNA from 1 species
GUUGAACGCUGGCGGCAGGCCUAACACAUGCAAGUCGAGCGAGCGGCGGACGGGUGAGUAAUGUCUGGGAAACUGCCUGAUGGAGGGGGAUAACUACUGGAAACGGUAGCUAAUACCGCAUACCAUCAGAUGUGCCCAGAUGGGAUUAGCUGGUAGGUGGGGUAACGGCUCACCUAGGCGACGAUCCCUAGCUGGUCUGAGAGGAUGACCAGCCACACUGGAACUGAGACACGGGCCAGACUCGUACGGGAGGCAGCAGUGGGGAAUAUUGCAAAAUGGGCGCAAGUCUGAUGCAGCCAGGCCGCGUGUGUGAAGAGGGCCUGGGGGUUGUAAAGCACUUUCAGCGGGGAGACGUUACCCGAAGAAGAAGAACCGGCUCACUCCGUGCCAGCCGCCGCGGUAAUAA